CGCGAAUUCGCCCUUCGGGGUGCACCAGGCGCGAAAACUUUACAAUGCUGGAAACAGCGAUAGGGGGACUUUGAGUGCCAGGAUACAAUUCUGGCUGUCGUGAUGCCUAAAAAGCAUUGCAUAGCAAGGGCCGGGCAAGACCGGUGCCAGCCGCCGCGGUAACACCGGCGGCUCGAGUGGUAACCGCUAUUAUUGGGUCUAAAGGGUCUGUAGCCGGCUGGAUAAGUCUCUUGGGAAAUCCGAUAGCUUAACUAUCGGGCUUCCAGGGGAUACUGUCUGGCUCGAGACCGGGAGAGGUGAGUGGUACUUCAUGGGUAGGGGUGAAAUCUUGUAAUCCUUGAAGGACCACCAGUGGCGAAGGCGUCUCACCAGAACGGAUCUGACGGCAAGGGACGAAAGCUAGGGGCACGAACCGGAUUAGAUACCCGGGUAGUCCUAGCCGUAAACGAUACUCGCUGGGUGUCGGCCACGGUGCGACCGUGGUCGGUGCCGUAGGGAAGCCGUGAAGCGAGCCACCUGGGAAGUACGGCCGCAAGGCUGAAACUUAAAGGAAUUGGCGGGGGAGCAC
rnacentral:rRNA from 1 species